rnacentral:rRNA from 1 species
UGCGUAGGCGGGUUUCUAAGUCAGAGGUGAAAGCCUGGAGCUCAACUCCAGAACUGCCUUUGAUACUGGAAGUCUUGAGUAUGGCAGAGGUGAGUGGAACUGCGAGUGUAGAGGUGAAAUUCGUAGAUAUUCGCAAGAACACCAGUGGCGAAGGCGGCUCACUGGCCCGAUACUGACGCUGAGGCACGAAAGCGUGGGGAGCAAACA